ensembl:lncRNA adenylate cyclase type 3-like
CUCCUGAAGAUCCCUGAUCCCAAAUUCCCACUCUUUCUUCCCAAAAAUCCUGUAAUCCCAAAUUCCUGCUGUUUGUUCCCAAAAAUCCCGUGAUCUCAAAUUCCUCCUCUUUCUUCCCGAAGAUCCCACAAUCCCAAAUUCCCGCUCUUUCUUCCCAAAAAUCCUGCGAUCCCAAAUUCCUGCUGUUUUUUCUCGAAGAUCCCCUGAUCCCAAAUUCCUCCUCUUCCUUCCCAAAGAUCCGGUGAUCCCAAAUUCCCAGUUUCAUCCCGAAGAUCCUCUUAUCCCAAAUUCCCUCUGUUUUAUCCCGAAUAUCCCCCGAUCCCAAAUUCCUCCUCUUUCAUCCCAAAGAUCCCAAAUUCCUGCUGUUUGUUCCCAAAAAUCCCCUGAUCCCAAAUUCCCGCCGUUCCAUCCUGAGUAUCCCAAAUAUCCCGAAUAUCCCAAAUUCCAGAAUAUCCCAAAUAUCCCAAAUAUCCCGUGAUCCCAAAUAUCCCAAAUAUCCCAAAUAUCCCAAAUCUCAUCCCAUUCCCGUCCCCAGCUGCUGUCCAACGUGGCGCUGCGCGCCUGCACGGUGGCGGCCAUGUUGGGCGCCAUGUCGUACGUGAUGGCCGACCGGAAGCACUGGAAGCCGUUCCUCCUAGAUUCCCAUUCCAUCCCAAAUCUCCCAAAUUCCUGAGUAUCCCAUUAUCCCAAAUAUCCCAAAUCUGGGCCCAUUCCCGUCCCCAGCUGCUGUCCAACGUGGCGCUGCGCGCCUGCGCGGUGGCGGCCAUGUUGGGCUCCAUGUCGUACGGGAUGGCCACCCGGAAGCACCGGAAGCCGUUCCUCCUAGAUUCCCGUUCCAUCCCAAGUAUCCCAAACAUCCCAAAUGUCCCAAAUAUCCCAAAUUUCGGCCCAUUCCCGUCCCCAGCUGCUGUCCAACGUGGCGCUGUACGCCUGCGCGGUGGCGGUGGGCGCCAUGUCGUACGUGAUGGCGGACCGGAAGCACCGGAAGGCGUUCCUGGAGGCGCGGCAGUCGCUGGAGGUCAAACUGAACCUGGAGGAGCAGAGCCAGCAGCAGGAGCGGCUGAUGCUGUCCAUCCUGCCCAAGCACGUGGCCGACGAGAUGCUGAAGGACAUGAAGAAGGACCCGAGCCAGAAGGAGCUGCAGCAGUUCAACACCAUGUACAUGUACCGCCACGAGAACGUCAGCAUCCUGUUUGCCGACAUCGUGGGCUUCACGCAGCUCUCGUCGUCCUGCAGCGCCCAGGAGCUCGUCAAGCUCCUCAACGAGCUCUUCGCCCGCUUCGACAAGCUGGCCGCCGUGAGUGCCCCCCGGAAUUCCCGGAAUUCCCGGGAUUCCCAAAAAAAAAUCCGGGUUUUGGGGGCGAGGAGGUCGGGGAAGUGCGGGGGGGAUGGAGGAGUCCCGGCUGGGAUGGGUGGGAAGUGGGGAAUGCGAGAGGGUUGGGGUUGGGAUUUGGGCGGGAUUGUGGGAGUUGUCCGGGAUUAUUCGGGAUUUUCCGGGAAUUCCGGGUGGGCAGAAGCAUCACCAGCUGCGGAUCAAGAUCCUGGGGGAUUGCUACUACUGCAUCUGCGGGCUGCCGGAAUUCCGGGAGGAUCACGCCGCCUGCUCCAUCCGGAUGGGGCUGGCCAUGGUGGAGGCCAUCGCGUAAGGAAGGGCGGGAAUUGGGGAGGG